UACGUAGGUCCCGAGCGUUGUCCGGAUUUAUUGGGCGUAAAGAGCUCGUAGGCGGUUUGUCGCGUCUGCCGUGAAAGUCCGGGGCUCAACUCCGGAUCUGCGGUGGGUACGGGCAGACUAGAGUGAUGUAGGGGAGACUGGAAUUCCUGGUGUAGCGGUGAAAUGCGCAGAUAUCAGGAGGAACACCGAUGGCGAAGGCAGGUCUCUGGGCAUUAACUGACGCUGAGGAUCGAAAGCAUGGGGAGCGAACCGG
rnacentral:rRNA from 1 species